AUUGCUCCAUUGCACUCCAGCCUGGGCAACAAGAGCAAAAUGCCGUCUCAAAAAAAAAAAAAAAAAAAAUGCUCCAAGUGAGUCUCAUCAUCAGGUAAGUGUGGGAAACACUGAUAUAUGAGGAUUAUAAAACCCAUCUUUAGGUGGACAAGCCACAGGCCUGGGGUGAUAUCUUAGAUGCAAAACAAAUCAUACUGUGCUUUUUAACCUUAGGUGCAUUUUUUUUUGCACAAUUACCAUCUUACCCAUCCCCCUUGCAACAGUACCAAGAUUUCAAUUCCAUUUUUGUCUUCUUUCCCACUAAACCCAAGUGCUUCUGGAAAGAUGACCCCCUAUUACCAGGCUCAGGGUGAGUCCUGACUAAUACAAACCAAUCAGGUAUAUUAAAUUUCCCGGGUCAAGUGUGGGUACAUAACCCAAGCAAGUCUCAUCAGGGAAAAUUUUAGGACUUGUUGCUUAGAAGGUGUCCUAGUCGGUUUGUGUUGUGAUAACAGAAUGUUUGAGGCCGGGUAACUUAUAAAGAAAAAAGGUUUAUUUGGCUCAUGAUUCUGAUGGCUGGAAAGUUAAAGAUUGGGCAUGGGCAUUUGAUGAGGGCCUCAGGCUGCUUCUACUCAUGGCAGAAAGUAAAGGAGAGCUGGCCUGUGCAGAGAUCACAUAAUGAGAGAGAAAUAAGAGAGAAUAUGGGAGGUGCUGGGUCCUUUUUAAACAGCCAGUUAUUGAGGAAGCUAAUAGAGUAAGAACACUAGCCCUUGAGAGAGGCAUUGAUCUAUUCAUGAGGGAUCCACCCCCAUGAUUGAAACACCUCCUAUUGGGGCCCACCUCUAACAUUGUAGAUCAAAUUUCAGCAUGAGGCUUGGAAGGGACAAACAUCCAAACUAUAGCAGGAGGGUGUAGUAUAAACCUGUGAGGUGUGGAACUGCUGCAGCUAUUUUGCCACCAUGAGGGAAAUAGCUUCAGAAUGACUCUGACACUAUGGUAAGCAGAGCAGAUAAUAGAAAAUAAGCCAGGCCCUUACUGACGUUAUUAAGAUGCCAAGGCUCAGCUUAUGUCUGUACUUUUCAUUUAUGGGGAUCAAAGAAUUUCUUUUAUGGUUUUAGUUACUGUGAGUUGGGUAUUUACUUGCAACAAAGAGUGCUAAUAGGUGUACUUUACACAUCUUAAAAAACCAGUAAGUUUAUUACAUUUAUUGAUGCAAAUUGAUGAAGGCAUUAAAUCCUUGGCUGAUCCUCAAACAAGAGGGAAUGGAUUUGAAUUUCAGCAAGAAGGAUUUGGGUUAGAAAGAAAGAAAGCUUUUCUUCCCAUAAAGACUUUGAGGUAUUUAAAAGGCUCACCCAGGAAAGUUUUAAGAAUUUCCUAUUCUAGAGAUUUUCAAAAAGAGAGGGUGAAUUUUCUAGGAUAAUUUCAGUCUUGUCCUGCAGAGCAGGGGAGGGAUAGAAUAAUUGCCCUCAUGUAGGAUCUCAUCUACUCCAUGGCUUUAUAAAAUUGUCCAAACUUUAUUCUGGACCUGAAUCCUGAUUUCAGUUAUGAAAUUCAUCAUCCUUGCUCUGCUAGAGUUUCUCAAAUGACAUUUCACAAACAUUCUCAUGAGCAGACCCACCCAGAUGCCUUCUCCUGAGCUGCUGAGAAACGAAAGAGUUUGUUCUCUUCCUCAUCCUUGACUAACCAGAUGUGUCACUUGGCUAGCCAGGAAUAUUUUUACUGCAAACGAUGCUGUUUCCACUGACCACAAUUCCAAAGCUGUUAAAGACAAAAACAGAAAAAACACCGUAUUCUGGUUUGUUUGAUUUUCUGAUUGGACUUAAUGAGGCAGAUAUUAUUCCAGGGCUUUAAAUCUUUCCCACUGAAAUGUCCCUCAGCACGUAAAGCCUGCUCCUUUAUUCAGUGAACACAGCAAGGGUGCAGUGGAGAUGACAGCCAAGAAAAUGAUUUUUUUUCUAUACAGGGUUCCAGAAGGACAAGAGCACUCUCCUUAUGUUGGUAGAACAGCAGUAAGGGGCUAGCUCUCAGUUUAUUUCUUCAUUUGAUAUUUAUGGUGCUAGGCAUGGGGUAGCUGGAGUUGAAUCAGACACUGUCGCUGCCAUUGACAGACUCACAGCCUAGGAACAGUCACAUCAGCAGCCGCCUGGAAGGUGAGAGGUGUGAGCACAGCGAAGGGGGAAUGAAGGGAAGGGGCCGAGGACCUGCCAGCAGGAGGCUUCUGAGAGGAGCCCAACCUGCUUGGCUCUCAGCAGAUACAUUCGCUGAAGAGAACCGAAAAUAACUCUUGUCUUGGAGUGAGAGCUAUGACCUCUUAGUCCCAGCUCUGCUUUUUUCAUUUUUUUUGUAAAUCUCAUACAAGCCACUAAAUUUUCCUGAGCUUGUUUCCUCAGCAGGAAUGCAGAGGUCAUCCACCUACCUCGUGGAGCAUGUGAAAGGGGUUUGUGAACCAUAAUGCCUGUGAAUCACUGCACAAGAUUUCCCUUUGUGAGGCCAGAGGGGAUCAGGAACCUCCUCCAAGAAGAGCCUGUGGGCAGAGGGAAACCCCAUGUGUGAGGGAGGGGACCGUCAAGGAGGAGACAAGCAGAUUCUUCAGGAAUAUGGGCCGUUGCUGGUCUCUCUUUUCAGCAUGAAAGAGCAGAAGGCUCAGGGUAUUCUAGAUGAUAGGGUCAACCAUUUCUAACAGUGGGGGGCAAAAAAUAAAAAUUCCAAUUCUCCCUCCCUGGUCUAUCAGAAAGGCUCAAAUUUUCUGCUUGGCUGUUUUUUUUUUGGCCCUUUGAAAGCUCAGUAACAUUGGACGGAACAGGCUGCAUCACCAUGGAGACAUGCACCUGCCAGUUGCUUGGCUGGGCAGGACAAGCAGGCGUGUGGAUGCUGACUCUGCACAGCCACUUCAGAGACAUCAGGAAGGCCCCAGGGUCUUGCCGUCUUCCAGGCUCUCAGGUCUUGCUUUUCACCCCCGCCCCCUUCUUAAAACGUAUUCAACAGUGUAUACAUUUCCUCUAACCGGGAUGAAGCCCUUCAUUUCCUAAUUUGCUAUAAAGGGUUAAUAUGCCAUUCCCCUGGGGGAGAAAAGAGUGACAUUCACACAAAGCUGCAAUCAGUGCCUGUGACGUCCUUUGAGAAGAGGGUUGGUAGCUAGAAGUGGGUGAAAAGAGGGCCCAGAAGUACUCAGUGUUCAGAAACCCAGAGCAAAGCCCCAAUUGCAAAAGAAAUGGCAGCAGAAAUGCUGCUGUCAAAACGCUGCUCCCUCCACAGUUUUCUCUAGGAUGGGUCCUAUGAAUGGAACCUGAAAUUUGUGACUGCUACAUGCUUUCUGUCAGAAAGCUGGAAUGAUGGGACUAAUAUCUUGGUUUUUAAAACAAAGGAAAAAAUGUAAAAUUUGGAAAAUAUUGAGUUUGUUGUUGAUCUUCACCUAAUCUGGAAUAAGUUAUCUGGUAGAGAUUUGUGGGCCCAUUUCAAAAGAAAAUAAUAUUCAUGAGUUGCAAGCAAAAGGCUCAGUUAGGAAUUUAUAGCUUGCAGCUUACUUUCUUUCAGGCGAGUAUGGUAUGCAAGGGAGGCAAUGAAUAAGCAUUUGUGAACUAAAUGAAGGCAGAUUUGAGGUAGUCAAUAGUAAUAAAAAUGUAUCCUGAAGUGGAAACGUAGAGACAAGAAAAGAAAAGCUGUUGGAUAAACAGAAAAAAAUAGAUUUUAAAAAAGAAAAAAAUCAGAAAUAAAUAUUUUAGUAUCUGGAAUGAUUGAAUGAUCACAAAUAAACACAAGAUUUAACUCCAAGAUGCCUAGAAACCAAAGCAAAAAAAGUAACUGUUAAAUUGUCUUGAUAUUUGGCAAAAAUAAAAGCAAAAACAAACAAACAUAGAAUUGUGCCUGAAUAGAUAUUAAAAAUAUUUUUUCUGGCAUUAAAUUCAGUGUGAAAUUUAUUGCAUGAAAAUUCUAUUCUACAAGGAACAACAAACAACACAGUAUGUUUCAAAAGAUAUAGACAAAUAGGCCUUUUAAUACUGAUUCUCUAUAAAAGUGAGCACUUCAUAUUGAAUCAUAACUCACUUAGAGAACUAUUAUAAUAUAGACUAGAAAAAUUUCGUUAGCAAUCCCAAAGGAAACAAAUAAAUACAUAAUGUGUCCUUUGGUUCAGAUCUCUCAAAUAUCAGAUCUAGGGAUGGAGUUUUAGAUCCUAUAACAUUGACAGACACCAGAAAUGUCCCGUUCUGUGGUUUUGAUGAGGGAGAAAGCUAAAUGCUUUAGAUAGCAGACAUGCAGAGGCAAAUUUAAUAUAAUGCUAUAAAACCUUAGGACUUUGAUAAAAAAUUAUCACCCGGAGAAGCAAUGUAUUGUAGAAAAAUAAGAGCCCAGGAUACCCUUCGCGUAGACUGGGUUUCAAAAUUGGACCCAAUGCUUGCUAUGUGACCAACUUGGCCAAAUUACUUCUCUCAGCCUCAGGAUUCUAUUUGCCAAAAUGUGAAUAAUGUGUCUUUUAAGGUUAACUGAGAAUUAGAAGACACAGUGUAGUAGGUACUAUUAGCUUCAGCUGUAAGUAGCAGAAAAAAAGACAAGAUAGCAAUGACUACAAUAAGGUAGAAGUUUAUUUUUCACUCCUCUUCUAGGCCAGGGACCAGACUCCUUCUAGCUUGUUGUUGUACCACACAUGGCUUCCAUUCCCAAGAUCACUUCAUGGCCCAAAAUGACUGCUGGAGUUCCCGAAUCACCUUCACAUCCCAGCAUGCAGGCAGGAAGAAGAACUGGAGAGGGCACAUUAAGAACACUUGUAUUUACAUCCCUCUGGCCAGAAUUUUGUCACAAGGUCUCACCUAGCCUCAGGGAAAGGGGAGAAAUGUCAUCUUUAUUCAGGACAACCCAGUUAAAUAUGGGACACCCAAUUAAGUCAGAAUUUUAGAUAAACAAUAGUUUUUUUAGCAUAAGUAUGUCUCAUGCACUAUUUGGAAAAUACACUUUUUUUUUUCACUGUUCAUUUGGGAUUCAAAUUUAAUUGGAUGUCCUAUAUUUUAUCUGGCAACUCUAACUAGCUAAGAAUCAAGGCUCCUGUUACUAAUCGAGGGUGAAGAAGCAUAGGGAAGAAGACUGAACAUUGAAGGAUAAUCAGAAGUCUCUGCCACAAAGUGAGACCCCACAAAGUGGGUGGCAUAAAUGUUGGUCCUCUCCUCCCUUUCCUUAUGAGGCAAGACAAAACCAGAAGGUGGUUGCAGGAAUAACUGCUGGUAGAGUCAACAUCUGUUUUUGAAAUAGAACCAACGUUUCUAUUUCAAUGGCUAGUUUAAGCACAUGAAACAUGUAUUUGGUUAAGAUUUCUGCUCUACUCAUGAAAGAGACAACUGUGGUAUGAAAAGCAACAUUAAUAAAAUCACUGCUUCUUUUUAAUUACAAAAAUGCUCAGUCUCAUCUCUGCAGAAAGUCUAUUUCUGAACACAUCUACAAGCGAAUGAACCCAUCAACUAAGCUGGUUGCAAGGAAACUUUCAUGUGAAAACAAAGGCCUGCAGGGUAUGGUUGGGGGUGCAAUGGUCUGACUGUGUUCCCCCAAAAUUCAUAUAUUGAAACCCUAAUCCCAAUGUGAUUAUAGUAGGAGGUGGAACCUUUAGGGGUGAUUAAGUCUUGAGGAUGGAGCCCCCAUGAAUGAGAUUGAUGCCCUUAUAAGAAGAGUCCAGGGAGCCAGCUUGCUGUCUUUCCUCAAUGUGAGAAUACAGAAAGAAGACGGCUAUCUGCAGCCCAGAAGAGAGCCCUCAUCAGAGCCCAGCCUUGUUUGCACCCCAAUCUAUCUCAGACCUCCAGCCUCCAAAACUGUAAGAAGUAAAUUUCUGUUGUUGAUGAGUUACCCAAUCUACAGUACUUUGUUAUGGCACCUGAACAGACUAAGACAGGAUAUAUUCAGUCUAUUACUUACCCACUUGCCCCCUACUGCAAAUAUUUUCACUUUUGUAUGGCCGACGUGAGAUUGUUCUGAUUGUUGUUAUCAGAUGUUUUAAUUUCUUCUCAAGGUCACUCUGAGUUCCUGACUCUAAAACCAUGACAUCAGUAUAAUGGAGGAAGUCCCCAAAUGCUGUAGAAGAGAAAUCAUGAGUUCAUUUUAGUUAAUAGCGGAAGCAGCUAAUUGUUCAUGAAGAAAUUGCCUAAAGAGAGGCAAUAUUCCUUUUUUUUUUUUUUUUUUAGUUUUCAACCAAGCUUUUAAUGAAAAGAUUAUAUGAUAACUAUUUUUCAUCACUGUACAUGAAGUCUGCAUGCUUCUGAAUGGAGAGAUCGAUCAUCCACGAAUUGCUUUUCUAUGACACUGGACGGCUAUGUAGCUGCAGCUCUGACCUGAAUUUAUACAAACUCUCGAGGGAUGCACACUCAAUGUAAUGAGUGACAGUGGUGGUGGCCAGUCAGAAGUGAGAUCCUGGUAUCCCUCCCCCUUUCUGGGAAGGGCAUAAAAUAGGACUGUUCCAGUUCCAAUUAAACAAAACAGGUGCCCCCUCCCUUUCCACUCCCCCUUGAGGUAUUUGUGAGAAUGAGCCAGUGCCCAGUUUAGGGCCUGCCAGGGGACAGGAGGAAGCUAGUGAUGGGUGGAGUACAGACAGGGGAAUCCCCUCAGUACCUGGCCCCACGGGGCCCCAUUUAGUGUAGCGAGAAAGCUCUGGGGAUUGAGAGGCAAUAUUCUUGAUCUGGGUUUUCUAUGGAUAGCUGUUUGACAGAGCCAUUGUCUUAUCAAUUUUAGCUUUUAUGUGUCCUAAAAUUACUAAAAGUUAACAUAUUUUACAACUAUAAAGCUCAGAAGAAUGUCAGAUUGAGUCUAUCUAUUUCUAGGAUAUGUGUAUAUCUUUGUAAGGUAAGAGACAAGAUGGCCUUGGGAGCAGGAUCAGCAUCAAUAUUUAAAGGAAUGAGUUACCAGAUAUGCAGAGCUGACCCACCAUUUUUAUACACUAGUAUGAAAGGAGAGGACACAGACUUGCUUCCCAUUAAGAGAUGGAUUCUUAAGGAGAGGCAAGUCUCUAUGUCUUCUUCUUUCCUUAAUUCCUCUCUUUUUGAAACUAAGCUGGUCAUAGUGACUUGCUUGACUAAUAAACUAUAGUGAAAAUGAUGUUCCAGGACUUCUGUGGUUAGGUCAUAGGAAGUGUUGUAGUUUCUGCCUGGGUCUCCUGAAACAUUCACUCUCAGAUUAGUCCCUCUUGGAACCAGGUGGCAUGUGGUAAGAAAGCCACGCCACAUGGAGAGGCCAUAAGGAGGUGCUCCAGCUGAGCUUCCAUCCCACAGCCAGUGUCAGCUGCCAGCUAUCUGAGUGUGCCAUCAUAGACCUGGAUCCCAAUCAAGCCUUCAGAUAAGUGCAGCCCCGGCCAACGUCUGACUGCAACUGUAAGAGAAAGCACAAAUGAGAAUCAUCUAGCUGAACCAAGUCAACCAUGAAACCAUGAUAAAUAAUAAAUUGUAGUUUUAAACAAUUACGUUUUGGGUGGCAUUUUAUGCAACUAUGGAUACUUAGAACAGAAUUUGGGACCUGGAGUGCUGCCAUAAUGAAAACUUAAUAUGUGGGACGUUGGCUUUGGGGACCAAGCAGCAGGAAGAAGCUGGGAGGUCCCUGAGGAAACUAUUAAUGAGAACUAGAGGGAAAAUGAGGACAUUGUUAUUGGAAGCUGGAAAAAGGCAUCCUUUGUUUUGUAAUGAUGGAUAAUUUGGUAUACUGUUGCUUUUCGUAAUAUGAAAAACAGAAAAUAUACCUAGGAAAUGGCAGAUUUGGCUAAGGGGACUUCCAGGCAGAAUGCUAAACAUGCUUCUCUUAGGCAAGUAUGGUAAAGUGUGAAUAUAGGGAAGUGAAAACCCCUCCUCCAAAAUGAACUAUUCAGCUUCAAGCAAAACUUAGAUGGAGUAUUAGAAGCCGGACUUGCUGGGUUUAGAAAUAAAGCUGCUUUUCAUUCCAAGCCUCUCCAGUUGGAAAAAAAGUUCUCAAAGUAAGACAUGAUAUAAGGUAAUGUUCAUCUCAAAGGUAUGGCUCUAAGACACUUGCUAAGAUUUUAGAAAUCUUUAAGGUGGCAUGCUGUCAGAAGCCCAGGCCACCUGGGGAGGUGGAAGUCUACCUCACAGACUUUGAAGGAAUCUGAAGGGCAUUAUUCCAUAGCAACUAACUCUCAGCCGAAGGCAGAAAGUGGCAUACCUUAAAGAGAUUUGUAGGUAUAUAUUUAACUAAUGAAGUAAAAUUUAAGAGAAUUAUACAUGUGGAAGCACCAUCAGCUUGAAAUAAAUAGGACAGAGGCAGUUCAAACUGUAGAGAGCUUUCUAUGGGUAGGAAGUAGGACAACAAGGCUGCCGAGCUACAAACAUAGUCAUUU